rnacentral:rRNA from 1 species
UCUUACAGAAACCAGCGGAGACGCAGGUGUUCCUUUGGGAACUGUAAGACAGGUGGUGCAUGGCUGUCGUCAGCUCGUGUUGUGAAAUGUUGGGUUAAGUCCCGCAACGAGCGCAACCCUUAUCCUUGUUUGCCAGCACUUCGGGUGGGAACUCCAGGGAGACUGCCGGUGAUAAACCGGAGGAAGGUGGGGACGACGUCAAGUCAUCAUGGCCCUUACGAGUAGGGCUACACACGUGCUACAAUGGCGCAUACAGAGGGCGGCCAACUUGCGAAAGUGAGCGAAUCCCAAAAAGUGCGUCGUAGUCCGGAUUGGAGUCUGCAACUCGACUCCAUGAAGUCGGAAUCGCUAGUAAUCGUGGAUCAGAAUGCCACGGUGAAUACGUUCCCGGGCCUUGUACACACCGCCCGUCACACCAUGGGAGUGGGCUGCAAAAGAAGUGGGUAGUUUAACCUUCGGGAGGACGCUCACCACUUUGUGGUUCAUGACUGGGGUGAAGUCGUAACAAGGUAACCG